CAUCAAUAGGAAGGAAAUUAUUCUGGUUGAUGAAGUAUAACAAAAUCACUGAAUGGAAGGAAAUCAUUCUGGUUGAUGAGGUUGUAAUACCUCAUUGAAUGGAAGGAACCAUUCCAGUCAGUGAGGUUGUUAUACCUCAUUGACCAGAAGGGGUUCCUUCCAGUCUGUG
rnacentral:miRNA from 1 species